AUUGGAAUGAUCUGAUUUUUCUUUCUCCAGCUGAUUUUACAGAUGAGAAAACUGAGGACAACAGGGUAAAGUAACUUGCCCAGGGGCACAGCAAUGUCCGAUGCCAGAUUUGAACUGAAGAAGAAGAGCUACUCAGCACAUCAGAAAUGAUGACCUGAGGACUUCAAACUUUCAUCCUUGGAACUCCCAUCUUGAGGCCCUGCUAGUCUAAUUGAUGAGUCCCUCCCAUUGCCCACAAUGUGAGACAGUAUUCCAUUACAAAAACAACUAG
rnacentral:lncRNA from 1 species